rnacentral:lncRNA from 1 species
UUCAACCACAAGAUAAUAGAUGAAAGACUAAAUAAAGUUUAAACUGUAAGCAUAAAAAAAAAACCAAGCAGUUGGGAUGCAAGAGAGAAAAAUGAGAGGAGGAAGACGAGAAACAACAAUAGAAUACCGAAAAGGGAGAAAAAGAAGAGGUGUGGCAAGAGAAAAAGGAGAAGAGGAAGACGAUCGAUAUCAGAAACUGAAUGCCGCGAAGAGUUGCGGUGUAUUUAAAAUGGAAUUGGGCGUCGGUUAUUCUCCAGAAACCGACGUCUAUAGACGUCGGUUAUCCUACUAAUGUGACGUCCAAGUGAACAUUUAAAACUGACUUUUUGAAUACCAUUAGACGUCGGUUUCUGUCAGGGGGAACCAACGUCUAGGAAGCUGAACCGAUUGACAUUUGAUAUCCUGUCAGGGAUGUUCACGACUAUUGGUAUGGGCCACCGACGUCUAUAAUAACAUACACGUUGGGGCCUUAAAUAGCCGACGUCUCAGGUCCUCGAGUUUUGUAAACAUAAUUAUUACAGGUAUAAUAGACGUCGCGUAGCCCGAAACGCCGACGUCAACAUUGAAGAUUUUUUUGUCUUUCCCGCCUUCCAGACAUGCCUUAGACGUCAGAUUUGGACUACGUGACGUCUAAGCGCCUGAGAAUUAGGUGAAAAGCAUUAAAUGCAACCUAGUAGACGUCGGGGUGCUGCAGUGCUGACGUCUUGAAAUUAAUAGACGUUUGUUUUUUGAUAAAACCGACAUCUAGUUUACUAGGCUAUUUACGAUAAUG